CAGCACUGAAGCUCUGACUGCAAUACAAUUAGUGUUUCUUUUGUGUGCCUGGCCUGAAGAAGACCAGCAAUUGGUCGAAACAUCGCGCUUUACAGGCUGGACGCCAAUCUUCUCGGUGGGGGGAGAAGGGAAAAGCGGCGGGAGGUCAUCGGUCGAUCCCCGGCCAUGGCGAAAGUGCGAAACGGCCGGUUCGGCGGCUCGGACGCAGCGGGACGAACGAAACGGCGAAAACGAAGCACGUCAACGGGAGACCUCAUGUUCCAGCUGAUAGAUCCUGAUGAUCAGGUUGACCUCUGACCUCUGUGUUAAUGUGUUUUACUGAGCCGCUGAAGUUCAGAUGUCCUCAGUGUGAUGGAAAUAAACAACAGGAAGA
ensembl:lncRNA